rnacentral:rRNA from 1 species
UACGGAGGGUGCAAGCGUUGUCCGGAUUUAUUGGGUUUAAAGGGUGCGUAGGCGGCCUUUUAAGUCAGUGGUGAAAGCCCGCGGCUCAACCGCGGAACUGCCAUUGAUACUGGAAGGCUUGAGUACAGACGAGGUGGGCGGAAUUGAAGAUGUAGCGGUGAAAUGCUUAGAUAUCUUCAAGAACACCGAUUGCGUAGGCAGCUCACUAGGCUGUAACUGACGCUGAGGCACGAAAGCG